AGAGUUUGAUCCUGGCUCAGAUUGAACGCUGGCGGCAUGCUUUACACAUGCAAGUCGAACGGCAGCACGGGGGCAACCCUGGUGGCGAGUGGCGAACGGGUGAGUAAUGCAUCGGAACGUAUCCUUGAGUGGGGGAUAACGCAGCGAAAGUUGUGCUAAUACCGCAUAAGCUCUGAGGAGGAAAGCGGGGGACCGAAAGGCCUCGCGCUGAAGGAGCGGCCGAUGGUCGAUUAACUAGUUGGCGGGGUAAAAGCCCAUCAAGGCGAUGAUCGAUAGCGGGUCUGAGAGGAUGAUCAGCCACACUGGGACUGAGACACGGCCCAGACUCCUACGGGAGGCGAC
rnacentral:rRNA from 1 species